CCUCUGUGGCAUUUGGAACUGUGUAUUUAUUGUGAGAGGAGGGAGCGUCUGAGCAUAUCACCCUAAGACUUUUCCCUUUAAUAAUUUGUUGUGGAAGGAGCUAAUAUAUAAUCACAAGUAACCAUCACCACCACUCAUAGGAACCUUUCUGAUAACCUCUGUGGCAUUUGGAACUGUGUAUUUGUUGUGAGAGGAGGGAGCGUCUGAGCAUAUCACACUAAGACUUUUACCUUUAAUAAUUUGUUGUGGAAGGAGCUAAUAUAUAAUCCCGAGUAACCAUCACCACCAACUCGCAUCAGUAACAAAAAUAACCUCCGACCCAUUUCUUCUUUAUUUGAAUGUUCAUAAUUAUAUCUUUUGUAUUUGUACAGGGGGACAAACAACUUUUAUACAGCUAAAAAAAUGUACACAAUAAUAAUAAUAAUUUCAAUGAACAACUUCAACAAAAUCACCCUUCACAAUAUAUCUACAUACCCAAAAAAUAUGUAUAGUAUGCAUAAUUUGAGAACUGUCUGUGAAUAUGUCUGUUAUGCCCUUGAUAGUGUGGGUCUACAUAACACUUUAUAUCGUCACCCUCAUAAAUUAUUUGCCCGAGUCAUUUUUCAGUGAUUUCCAGGUUUUUGUCUACGUCAAUUUUUUAACAUGACACCCAUUUUUGCAUAGUUGCCUUUGUUGUUCAGGGUUUGAGUGUUCUAGAAUUGACCUUUUCAUUUCUGCCUAAAUCUUAACCCGGUAGCAGCGACGGGACAAAUUUGUGGCUUUACCGUGCAGCAGUGACAGGCUAAAUUUGUGGCUUUACCGUGUAGCAGGGACGGGUCAAAUUUGUGGCUUUACCAUGUAGCCGCGACGGGCCAAAUUUGUGGCUUUACCGUGUAGCAGCGACGGGCUAAAUUUGUGGCUUUACCGUGUAGCAGGGACGGGCCAAAUUUGUGGCUUUACCGUGUAGCAGCGACGGGCCAAAUUUGUGGCUUUACCGUGUAGCAGCAAAGGGCCAAAUCUGUGCCAUGAUAUAAACCCCAAAAAAUAGAUGAUACAUAAACUGAUCACAAACGCUUCGAUAUAUAUUAUGAAAUGGUUUGUAUGAGUGAUGAUUUUUUCUCAUUUUUCUCGCUUAGAGGGACCAUUAAGAAACAUGAUCCCCGCAGCUACCGGGUUAAACCAUGAGAUAAUGAUGAUUCUUUUCCGAUUUCCGGUAAAGUAGAAAACGAUGACAUGGGCGGUUACUUUACGAAGGUGACGAUAUGCAAAGACGUAAGGUAAAGUUGAGGGCAUACGCUAUAGCUGUGCGCGGCCUCAGUGCUCAUCUCCAUAACAUUUGCCCCUUGAGCCUGUAGUGAAUAAGAACCCAUCACCCAAGAACACAGGGCCAAUAUGACGUCCAGGUUACCACAGUUUACCUUCCCCAGGUUUCCCAGGUACCCAUUUAUCGACCAGCCAGGAGGGAGGAUGAACAGCUGGGCGACCUACACAGUGACAGCCCAGGCCAGGAUUAAAAUUAGGGCCCAUAGAGGGAGUAGAGAUGCUGAGUACAUACUGGAAGGAUGAUGAUGAAAAUGGAGCUGCCAAGUAAUAGGAUAAAAGGAAGCCAAAAGAGGAGGGGGUGGAAAGGAUGGAGGGAAGGGAGGCUUGGCAUGACAGAGAAAGAUACAGAGGACAAAAGAUGGAAAUUAACUUUGACACCAUAGAUAAAAGUUGUUCCACUCCUGAGUCACUUGCAAUAGGAUAAAAGGAAGCCAAAAGAGGAGGGGGUGGGAAGGAUGGAGGGAAGGGAGACUUGGCACGACAGAGAAAGACACAGAGGACAAGAUAUGGAAAUUAACUUUGACACCAUAGAUAAAAGUUGUUCCUCUCCUGAGUCACUUGCAAUAGGAUAAAAGGAGGCCAAAAGAGGAGGGGGUGGAAAGGAUGGAGGGAAGGGAGGCUUGGCAUGACGGAGAAAGAUACAGAGGACAAGAUAUUGAAAUUAACUUUGACACCAUAGAUAAAAGUUGUUCCACUCCUGAGUCACUUGCAAUAGGAUAAAAGGAAGCCAAAAGAGGAGGGGGUGGAAAGGAUGGAGGGAAGGGAGGCUUGGCAUGACAGAGAAAGAUACAGAGGACAAGAUAUGGAAAUUAACUUUGACACCAUAGAUAAAAGUUGUUCCUCUCCUGAGUCACUUGCAAUAGGAUAAAAGGAAGCCAAAAGAGGAGGGGGUGGAAAGGAUGGAGGGAAGGGAGGCUUGGCAUGACGGAGAAAGAUACAGAGGACAAGAUAUGU